UUGUGGCCCAACAAGAGAAAGCUGUCCCCU
rnacentral:piRNA from 1 species